CGAGUUGUUGACAGCGACAUCUGGUGUUGGCGUGGGUUUUACACCCCUGUCGUCUGCUGGACAGCCAAAUCAGGCAGUUUGACGCAGGUAAUGUUUGAUUAUUUUCAGGCCAUGUUUACACAUUUCAAAUUUCGCGAAGUUGGCAAGAUAUAGAAAGAAUGAAAUAAAAAGGCAACUAUUAUUAUUAAACUUAAAUAUAGACUGUAUAUGCAGAAAGGUAGUCUAGAAUCCUAAUCUACUGGUAACUCCGGUGCUGUUAACAUUCGUUUUUUAGUUACCGGUACAGAGUUAAUUAUGGUUCCAAGGAAGCAUCGUGUCCCGGAUGGUAAGAAAAGGAAAUUUGGAAUGCCUUCAAAAGAAUGGGCACAAAAGUUUCAUCACGUUUUUUUGGUAUCCGCAAUUUUACCAUUGUGUUUAAAUAUCGCUACUCUGCUAAUUUUAAAAGCAAAGUUGAAGAUGGAAAAGCUAGAAUUUGUGCUGAUAAUUUCAAGGAUGAAGAUAUUCAAAGGGCCAAUAAAAAAAGUUGGAUUAAAUUUGGAGCAUCACCCACAAAAUUGUUGCCAAGAAAAUCAUAUGAAGUACCUCCCUGCCCACCAAGAAGAAUUAUUCCCAAAUAUUCAUCUAUAAAACCUUCAUCUCAAUCUGCAAUUAUUAACUACAAUUUCAUUAAUGAAAUAAUUUCAGCUUUUGAAAGUAUCACCUUCAAAAACUGGAGAAUACAUUAAAUCAAUACAUACAAAACUCAUUUCACAUACUAUUCUAAUCACAUCACGACACCGGAAAUAAGCCUUCUAAUACGCCAAUUUGACCAAAAACAAUUUCCCUUUUCUUGCGCUUUCGCUGGAGUUUAUUCUUCCACCAUAUCAUCGGCAAUUUCAAUACUACUCAAAAACUUGGUUGAUCUCACCCCGUGUUUGGGAUAUGAUAUUGUUUCCACAAAUAGUUCAUGGAUUCCCAGAAGUGUUCCUGAAAUAGAAGAUGAUGGCAGAAUUUCCUUGAAAUUAAGAUAUCUCAGCUCUCAAUGUGAAAUAGCGUAUUCUUAUGCUGGUACACGACCCAACAUACACUUGUAUGCGUCUCCAUGUGCAUGAUCAAGACGGUGACAAGAGAAAAUUCAGCCUUUUUACAACAUCUAUGAUAAAAGAUUAGAAUGGCUUGAGAAAGAUUUUUUAAAAACCUGGAUAUUGGAAAGAAAAGGCAUACAGUCGGCCAUUAGUGGGAGAAGUUAAUCGCCAGAAAAUGCUGCUCAGUGAUGUCACAAAAAAUGGCUUGAGAAUGGCAUCUAUCUCUAUGGCUGCGAUUAUUCGUAUUGUUUUGGACAGUGGUGCGAACCAUGUUUUACCACGGCGAAUAAACCAAGACCCUCUAGAGCAGGGGUCCGCAACCACUUCUCAGCGCGACCCAAAAAUUCUUUUUCUAAUUUCUUGCAACCCAAGCAUUUGGUAAGCAUAAAAUUAGUUAUCAAUUUUAAGACUAUUAUUGACCCUAUCAAUUUUCUUGCAUAAAAUUAUAUGAAACUUAGCACAUAAAAUGAAUAAUAGCGUUUAUUAUGACUAAUGCGAAUUAUAAGCUUUGUGUUUCGAGCACAACAUGUCAAUUCGAGGUUUAAUUUGGGAGACGGUAACUCGAAGAUCUUCUAGCCUUGUUCUGUAUUUGUUUUUUAUGUAUGAAAACGUCCUUCCACAUAAGUAGGUAGUUCCGAAUGGCAACAGAGCAUUCAUUGCAUCAGUUAAUAACUCCGGAUAUUCCUUUGCAACUGAAAUCCAAAAUUCAACCACGACAGACUGUCUGAAUGAAGUAUCUGAGCGCUUUUAAAAUGUUUAUUAUUACGUCAAAAUUUGCACUUCUAAUGAUUGGCCAAUGUCACCUCAGUAAAUAAGGAAGUGUAAACUCGGGGAAACAUCCAUAAUUAUAAUCGGAGAUUUAUAUAGUUGUUAUACCUGAAUACGCUACACAGACACGAUGCUCAUAAUUAUGGCAAAUUUAAAUUGUUUUGCGACCCAGAGCGAAGUGCUUCGCAACCCAAAUUUGGGUCGCGACCCUGUAGUUGCAGACCCCUGUCUCGUUUGCUGUAAGAUUCAAGUGUAAUUUCAACACAAUACAUUCAGAUACUCAUUUUUGUACCUAAUUUCUUGGUUUGCGGCCCGCGUGGCCAAUAAAUUUCAAAAAGGGGUCCGCGACAUGUUUUGAUUUGGAGACCCCUGCUCUAGAGGCAUAUUUUGGUCACCAACGAGAGCGAGGUUCUGGAAACCCCACCUUUAGUUUAUUCACAUCAAACUCCAGAUCAAUAGAUGUUGUAAAUUCGAGUAGUAGUGGUUCUAAUGUUGCGAUUGAAAAUGAUUGAUAAAUUUCUAGAAGCUGACUUCUUUCUGCUUAAAUACAUGCAUACGGAUUUAUAUAUAAGUACUAGUCCAUUUUCUUAAAUUCGUUUCUAAUUUUAGUGGCUGGCUCGUCUCUGCUUUAAAUAAUAGUUACCAUAAUGUAUCCAA